AGCUUGGGAGAGGUGUGGGGCUCCUUCACAGCCUUUUAUUGCCCCAAAACAGGUUGACUCUCUCGUCCUGGUAACCCUCAGGGCCCUGCAGAUCACAGUGUCCAGAGAGGAGGUGCCGUUGCUCCUAGCAGGAUGAGCUUAUCAUGGAACAUAAGAAAAAUAAAACAGAUGUCAGCCUGUGUAUGAAGAAUUCAUCCACAAGAUUUGAGCAGACCGAAGACCGUGAGACUUCCUACCCACAGUGAGCUAAAAGGACGCUUUUGUCAGAGUGGGGAAAUAAAAGGGCUUUAUGGGAAGGAAGAUAAGAACAGAUGAGUCAGAGGUUUCUGCUUAAUGCUCACUCUUCAAUUCUUUCUCAAGCAAAACCAAGAAUCUUCUUGGGCUAAGCCCCAAUUUGGGGUUCACCUGCCUUGCAGCAACAUGGCACCAAACAUGGGGCAGAAGAGAGAAAACGACAGCAUGAGAGACGGAGAAAGAAAUGGCAGUUGGCAAGGUGGUAAUGAGAGACAGCAGUUGGCAAGACAGUGAGAGACAGUAAGAGAUGGCAAGUGACAGUUAUUGUUAAGAUGACACAUGGAGAGAUGGCAAGAAAUAGAGAAGCAGUCAGUGAUGGAGGCUGCAAGAGUUGUAACACUAACCAAAGGCUCUUUUUAGAGCCAUCAUUUUUCCUGGCAGGUGGUACAGCCAAGCAGACAGGCAAGUGGCCAUACUGCUGCUGCCUCAUGUAGGAUCCGGCAGGCUGGUGG
ensembl:lincRNA